UACGGAGGGGGCUAGCGUUGUUCGGAAUUACUGGGCGUAAAGCGCACGUAGGCGGCUUUGUAAGUUAGAGGUGAAAGCCCAGGGCUUAACCCUGGAAUUGCCUUUAAGACUGCAUCGCUAGAAUCGUGGAGAGGUGAGUGGAAUUCCGAGUGUAGAGGUGAAAUUCGUAGAUAUUCGGAAGAACACCAGUGGCGAAGGCGGACUCACUGGACACG
rnacentral:rRNA from 1 species